CGUAACAAGGUUUCCGUAGGUGAACCUGCGGAAGGAUCAUUACCUAGAGUUUGUAGACUUCGGUCUGCUACCUCUUACCCAUGUCUUUUGAGUACCUUCGUUUCCUCGGCGGGUCCGCCCGCCGAUUGGACAACAUUCAAACCCUUUGCAGUUGCAAUCAGCGUCUGAAAAAACAUAAUAGUUACAACUUUCAACAACGGAUCUCUUGGUUCUGGCAUCGAUGAAGAACGCAGCGAAAUGCGAUAAGUAGUGUGAAUUGCAGAAUUCAGUGAAUCAUCGAAUCUUUGAACGCACAUUGCGCCCCUUGGUACUCCAUGGGGCAUGCCUGUUCGAGCGUCAUUUGUACCUUCAAGCUCUGCUUGGUGUUGGGUGUUUGUCUCGCCUCUGCGUGUAGACUCGCCUUAAAACAAUUGGCAGCCGGCGUAUUGAUUUCGGAGCGCAGUACAUCUCGCGCUUUGCACUCAUAACGACGACGUCCAAAAGUACAUUUUUACACUCUUGACCUCGGAUCAGGUAGGGAUACCCGCUGAACUUAAGCAUAUCA
rnacentral:rRNA from 1 species